rnacentral:rRNA from 1 species
GACGAACGCUGGCGGCGUGCUUAACACAUGCAAGUCGAGCGGAAAGGCCCUUUCGGGGGUACUCGAGCGGCGAACGGGUGAGUAACACGUGAGUAAUCUGCCCUUGGCUUCGGGAUAGCCACCGGAAACGGUGAUUAAUACCGGAUACGACACAUCACUGCAUGGUGCGUGUGUGGAAAGUUUGUUCGGCCAGGGAUGUGCUCGCGGCCUAUCAGCUUGUUGGUGGGGUAAUGGCCUACCAAGGCUUCGACGGGUAGCCGGCCUGAGAGGGUGACCGGCCACACUGGGACUGAGACACGGCCCAGACUCCUACGGGAGGCAGCAGUGGGGAAUAUUGGACAAUGGGCGGAAGCCUGAUCCAGCAACGCCGCGUGAGGGAUGACGGCCUUCGGGUUGUAAACCUCUUUCAGCACAGACGAAGCGCAAGUGACGGUAUGUGCAGAAGAAGGACCGGCCAACUACGUGCCAGCCGCCGCGGUAAAAC